rnacentral:rRNA from 1 species
AUGUGGAGCUGUCUUCGUCAGCGCUAUGAGCCCUCUGGUGAUGCCUUAUACCUUUCUGUGGUUCGUCAGGAGCAUGCUCUUCAGCAGGGUGACUCUACUGUUGAUGACUUUUAUGCACAGGGUUCUGCUAUCUGGCGCCAGCUUGAUUCUCUCCGCAGUGCUGGUUGUCGUACUUGCCCCUGCUGCCAGGCUGUCCAAGCCAAUUUGGACUUUCAUCGCGUCUACGAGUUCCUGUCUCGGCUCCGUAAGGAGUUUGAGCCCCGGCGUGCUCAGUUGUUUGCUCGUGGCCGUAUUUCUCUCAUGGAGGCGCUUUCAGAGAUUCGUGCUGAGGAGACUCGCUUACGUGGUGCUGGUUUGCUGGAGGUUCCCUCUGUGCUCGCUACUCGGGCUUCUUCCACUCCACCUGCUGCACCGACCCAUUCUCGCUCGAGUGCUCCGCCGCUCUUGCCCACUCCUUCUGGAGGCUCAGGUCGCCCCCGUCCACAUUGUGACUACUGCAACAAUGAUGGUCAUAUUAAGUCCCAGUGCUACACAAAGCGGAAACAACCGCGCAAGGCGCGAUCAUCAUCCUCAGGGACUUCGUCAUCUCCCUCGACAGCUUCAGCCAUUGCUUUGACUGAGCAGGAUAUUCUGAGACUUAAGCGUCUGCUCGCGGCUUCAGGUUCUUCCUCGAUGGGUACUGCUGCUUCUGUGACUGAUGCUUCCCGCAUUGAGCAACCGCCCUCUACACAGUCAGGACCGUCACACGCACACUCUGGUUGGGGCUGGCCCUCGCCGCCGUGA